CCUGGUGGCUCAGAUGGUAAAGCAUCUGCCUGCCAUGCAGGAGACCUGGGUUCAAUCCUUAGGUCAGGA
rnacentral:tRNA from 1 species